rnacentral:rRNA from 1 species
GUCCACGGCCAUCCCGCCCCGAAUAUGCCUGAUCCCUCUGGUCUUGGACGCUAAGCAGGGUCGGGCCUGGUCAGUAUGUGGCUGGGAGACCCCCUAGGAAGACCAGGUGCUGUAAGCA